rnacentral:rRNA from 1 species
AGAGCGAACGCUGGCGGCAGGCCUAAUACAUGCAAGUCGAACGGAUCCUUCGGGAUUAGUGGCGGACGGGUGAGUAACACGUGGGAACGUGCCCUUUGGUUCAGAACAACUCAGGGAAACUUGAGCUAAUACUGGAUAAGCCCUUCGGGGGAAAGAUUUAUCGCCAUUGGAGCGGCCCGCGUCUGAUUAGCUAGUUGGUAGGGUAAAGGCCUACCAAGGCUACGAUCAGUAGCUGGUCUGAGAGGAUGAUCAGCCACACUGGGACUGAGACACGGCCCAGACUCCUACGGGAGGCAGCAGUAGGGAAUCUUGCGCAAUGGGCGAAAGCCUGACGCAGCCAUGCCGCGUGAAUGAUGAAGGUCUUAGGAUUGUAAAAUUCUUUCAGCGGGACGAUAAUGACGGUACCCGCAGAAGAAGCCCGGCUAACUUCGCGCCAGCAGCCGC